CUAGCGUUGUUCGGAAUUACUGGGCGUAAAGCGCACGUAGGCGGCUUUGUAAGUUAGAGGUGAAAGCCUGGGGCUCAACUCCAGAACUGCCUUUAAGACUGCAUCGCUUGAAUCAUGGAGAGGCGGGUGGAAUUCCGAGUGUAGAGGUGAAAUUCGUAGAUAUUCGGAAGAACACCAGUGGCGAAGGCGGCCCGCUGGACAUGUAUUGACGCUGAGGUGCGAAAGCGUGGGGAGCAAACAGG
rnacentral:rRNA from 1 species